UACGAAGGGGGCUAGCGUUGCUCGGAAUCACUGGGCGUAAAGCGCACGUAGGCGGAUCGCUAAGUCAGGGGUGAAAUCCUGGAGCUCAACUCCAGAACUGCCUUUGAUACUGGCAAUCUCGAGUCCGGGAGAGGUGAGUGGAACUCCGAGUGUAGAGGUGAAAUUCGUAGAUAUUCGCAAGAACACCAGUGGCGAAGGCGGCUCACUGGCCCGAUACUGACGCUGAGGCACGAAAGCGUGGGGAGCAAACAGG
rnacentral:rRNA from 1 species